GGGGAUUUAGCUCAGUGGUAGAGCGUUUGCCUAGCAAGCACAAGAACCUGGGUUCGGUCCCCAGCUCCG
rfam:Rattus norvegicus chromosome 3, whole genome shotgun sequence.